GACGUAGGGCGCGAGCGUUGUCCGGAUUUAUUGGGCGUAAAGAGCUCGUAGGCGGCUUGUCGCGUCGGCUGUGAAAACCCGCGGCUCAACUGUGGGCGGGCAGCUGAUACGGGCAGGCUGGAGUUCGGUAGGGGAGACUGGAAUUCCUGGUGUAGCGGUGAAAUGCGCAGAUAUCAGGAGGAACACCGGUGGCGAAGGCGGCAUCCUGGACCGGUAUUGACGCUGAGGCGCGAAAGCCAGGGGAGCAAACGGG
rnacentral:rRNA from 1 species